AGGGUUUCAUCAAGCAAGGGAUUCACGCUCCUAAUAUCUGAGAGAUGCUGAAGGAGCAGGAGAGGCAGCGUGGCUUCUGGAAAAGCAGUGGACUGUCGACUCUGCAGGCAAACGUCUUCUGAAAAUCAUCCUGUAGUUUUUACAUGUCCUUUUCCUGUCUCAGGCCCCCAUCUAGGCUACUGGAUGCACCUUCUGCUUGUAGCACCACACUCAAAGAUGACCUUAGAACCUGUGCCUUCUGGCAUCAAGUCCACAGCAAAGGACAGGACUUUCUCAGGUAGAGUCAUGAAACCCGAAUCCAAGGCCGAACCUUGUGGUCUCUCUCCAGCACCACAGAGCACCUUUUCAGUAGCAAGAGUCUUCCAGGCCCUGUGCCGAAGCUCACGAAGCUGCUGACCGUGUGGCAAUGGACAACCCUUUGAAAGUCUGCCCUUCAGCUGGCGCUUUGUACUCUGGGCUGGAGGACCCGGACAGCACACCCCACCCUCACCUGAAGCACGCAGAGGUACAGAGGGGGAUGUCUUGCUUGUGCUUCUAAACAUGGAAAUUCCACCAAGAACUUAAGGACAAGAACCUAUUACUUGAUGAAAUCAGGCCACUCUACAGAGUUGCAUACAAACCUGAUUGUGUUCAGAGAGAAAGGAGAUAGGCAGCUUCUGUCAAAUUGGAUUUAAAAUGUAUUAAAGGCUCUGAAUGUUUGAGGGAACCCUAGGGUGAUGCUGAGUGGGAAUCUUACAGAGAGAAAAAAAUGCAUGCUUGAAAAUUCUGCUUCGUUCACACAUCCAUUCACUUCAUCAUAAAGCAAACCCAUUGUGUGCUCAGCAGUGCUUCAGUGCUGAGUGAUAUGAAGACAAGUAAUAGGCAAGACUCUGCUUGUGUGUGUGUGUGUGUGUGUGUGUGUGUGUGUGUGUAGCUGGGUAUCCAACUCAAAGCCUUCUGCAUGACAAGUGGAAUUUUCUCCAUUCCAGGCACAGAGAUAAAGAGACAGCCCCCUGCUGUGCUUUUUGAAGGUAGGGAAUGUGCUGAGAAGUAGACAAGACCCCUCCUGGAGUACCUGCAAUUAGAUCAGGCAUCUGUGUGCAUGAGAACAUACAAGGGCCACCCUGCCCCAAUAUGGCAAUAAUAGUUUCCUCACCUUUCCAGGUCGGUUGCUGAGACCUACCUGAGCUGUGUCCCUCUUGCUCAGUUGGCAUUCCUCCCUCCCUGACCCUUCAUAGUAACAAUAGCAGGAGAGGUUCACAGGGAAGGCUCUGGUGGAAGAGUUGGGGGACCACUUUGGUAUUAUGGGAUGGACAGUUAUUCCAAGCACACAGAGCAGGAAAAGCUAGCCUCCUCUCACUCCCCAGAAGUGGCAAGCCUUUCCUGUCCUCAUCUUCUUCUUCUGCCUUUCUUCCUGCUGCCUCCAACGUGUGGCUUCAGGAAAACCAAGUAUCUCUGAGGCCAAUUGUCCACAGCCAUGGAGAAAGCAUGUAAAGUGGCAUUUUCUCUGAAUUACAGCUGGUGCAGGAGAAACGGCUGCUUUACAUAUGUCAGCUUCACGAUGCCUGGGGAAGUGGCUGUGCUGAGCUGUAACAACAGCGCUCCAUGCCACCAGGCAGCAAAUGGAUUUUGGUUCUGCUUUAAUUUCUAGCAAACGGCCAUGCCUACACCACAUCCAUCAGCAGGAGCCGAUUCCACUGUUGAAUUAACAGCCUUGUUUAAUGGCCGCCUCGCUGCUCAUCACACCUCUGUUUGAUUAAAUUGUUAUA